AAGACAUUCUGUAAUUUACAAAGCAGAUUUAUGUGCUCCAAGAGCAUAAUUCUGAAAAUUUUUCAGUGUAUGAUUCAGUUUUCCAUUCCUUCUUUAGGUGAAACCCUGCUGAAAUUAACAUGUUGACUGAUGAUAUGACUAGGUGGAGCAAGUGGCUGAACGUAUUUCAAGCAUUUCGGCGGCAGGGAGAGUGUUGUUGUUUUUUGCAACUACAAAAAUAAAAUACAUACACAAAAUAAAAAUAUGUCAACACA